GAGAGAGAAAAAAAUAAAGAAGGGAGAUUGGGUGGAGUGAGCCUCAGAUCACCACACCGUUCUGAGAAAGCUCAGUCCAAGUUAAUGGAUAAUUAUUGAAAAGCGCUUGCCAAUUAGAGACUUCCUCCGCUGGGCAAGAACAACCUUCUUUAGUACCCUGAUCAUGUCAGUCAUUUACUACCGGCACCCUGGGAGAAGUGUGGCCAUGACGCUAAUCCAACAGUGGACCUGCAGAAGCAGCGGCUGGCGAGCAUAAGUCAAUGUUUUUCACACAGGUUCUCUUGAGUGGCACUCCAUCUCCACUAGGAUGCGAUUACUGGUUUUCCCCCGCCAUGCUUCAUUGUCAAUAGUUUCUGUUGGUGUUCUUCAGGUUCACUAAUCUUCCUUCUAAAUUAUCUCGUCUUAUAUUAGCCUUAUCCAGUGACCUUUCCAGUUUAGACAUUGUGUUUUCUAUCUCGAAAAGUUUUAAAUUUUUUCAUAUCAUGCGUUUCUUUCUUCUCAUUUCCUCCAAAUAACUGAACAUAAUAUAAUUACUGUUUUAACAUUCUUUCAUGCAAAUUCUACCACUUCUGUUUCAAGGGACUGCGUUUCCAUUUAGUGAUUUUUCUCAUGAUUCUAGAUCAUAUUUUUUCUCACCUUUUAUCAUGUCUAGUAAUUUUUUUAUUGGAUGCUGUACAUUGUAAUUUUAUGCUGUGGGGUCUUUGGAUAUUAUUGUCAGCCUUAUAGAAUGUUUUCCUUUGUCUUGGUAAGUUCUUAAAUAAAUUGGAGCCCUGUUAGAUCAAUUUGAAACUUGCCUUCUAUGCUUAUUUUUGCAGGUCUACUGUGGUCUUUACUCUAGGGAUAGUUCUGCCCUAUUACUAAGAAAUUGUUCUUUGUGGGAUAUCUACUGAAUACUUUGAGCGAACAAAAAGAGCACUUCACUCUUGCUGAAUUUCACCUUGUACACUUCUGUCACUUCAGCAUUCAUGAAUUCCAAUUUCUGCGUCCUCAACGCAAUGAAACUGCUGGGCCUUACAUGGGACUGUCCAUCCUUGUACUGUCGUUCAUAAUGUGCCUCCAGCAGAAGGGUGAUUUUAUGGCUUACCUUAUUUGGUUCCCCUUUUUAAGGGAUAAUAAUCUGUCCGGUCUAUUUUUCAAUGUCUGAAAAGGUUGUUUUAUAUAGUUGCUUGGGGUUUCUAGUUUUAUAAUGUGAGGGGCUAAAAUUGGCCUCUGCUAUUCUAUCAUGACUAGAAGAGAAAUUCUGGUAUUAUUUUUAAUAAGCAAAUACUGGAUUCAAAUUAAAUGUUCAUGAAUAGAGGACUGGUUUUAAAUGACUGUGGUGCAGCCUACCUGUGAAAUUACAGAUAUCACUUAAAAGAAUACAAUGGGGCAUAAAUGUAUUUGUAUUUUUUUC
rnacentral:lncRNA from 10 species